rnacentral:rRNA from 1 species
AGUGAACGCUGGCGGUAGGCCUAACACAUGCAAGUCGAACGGCAGCACAGGAGAGCUUGCUCUCUGGGUGGCGAGUGGCGGACGGGUGAGGAAUACAUCGGAAUCUACUUUUUCGUGGGGGAUAACGCAGGGAAACUUACGCUAAUACCGCAUACGACCUACGGGUGAAAGCAGGGGAUCUUCGGACCUUGCGCGAUUGAAUGAGCCGAUGUCGGAUUAGCUAGUUGGCGGGGUAAAGGCCCACCAAGGCGACGAUCCGUAGCUGGUCUGAGAGGAUGAUCAGCCACACUGGAACUGAGACACGGUCCAGACUCCUACGGGAGGCAGCAGUGGGGAAUAUUGGACAAUGGGCGUAAGCCUGAUCCAGCCAUACCGCGUGGGUGAAGAAGGCCUUCGGGUUGUAAAGCCCUUUUGUUGGGAAAGAAAUCCAGCUGGUUAAUACCCGGUUGGGAUGACGGUACCCAAAGAAUAAGCACCGGCUAACUUCGUGCCAGCCGCCGCGGUAA